AAAGGGGAAAUGAACGUCUCCCAGGCAACUGUCUGCGGGCGUGCUUACACGUCCUCGCUAGGGGGAGCCAAAGUCGCGAGAAUUUAUGACCUGGAAUGCUGACCUGGCUCCUUCUUGCAAGUUCUAUUCUAUUCUGUCAGAGGCCAUCUUUGGGCUGUCAAGUCACAAAGAUGUAAAGACUGCCCAGACAACAACCAAUAUUGGCAAUGGCAGUGAGCUUGUUGCUCUAGGCACUCAAGAUUACAGAAUACCCCUUGCUGGCUGGAUAAGGGGUAACUGAGACCCUGUGAUCUUCUGAGAAGUGACUUCUUUGUGCCAAAGGAUACUGCUGAGAAGUAAUAUUGAAACAGAAAGUAGCAACUGGAGAGGAAGAAAGAAUGAGGCUUAAGACUCCUCCU